rnacentral:rRNA from 1 species
GACGAACGCUGGCGGCGUGCCUAACACAUGCAAGUCGAGCGAGGUCCAUCCGGUGGCAACACCGGUGAAGACCUAGCGGCGAACGGGUGAGUAACACGUGAGAAACCUGCCCCGGAGACCGGGAUAACUCGAGGAAACUCGAGCUAAUACCGGAUACCCCCAUCCCAUCGCAUGUUGGGAUGAGGAAAUGCUCCGACGCUCCGGGAGGGUCUCGCGGCCUAUCAGGUAGUUGGUGAGGUAACGGCUCACCAAGCCGAAGACGGGUAGCUGGUGUGAGAGGACGAUCAGCCACACUGGGACUGAGACACGGCCCAGACUCCUACGGGAGGCAGCAGUGGGGAAUCUUGCGCAAUGGGCGAAAGCCUGACGCAGCAACGCCGCGUGCGGGAUGACAGCUUUCGGGUUGUAAACCGCUUUCAGGAGGGACGAAAAUGACGGUACCUCCAGAAGAAGCCCCGGCCAACUACGUGCCAGCAGCCGCAGUAAAAC